rnacentral:lncRNA from 1 species
GAGAGCUUAAAACAAGAGUUCCACAGAUGAGGAGAAGAAAGAAGCUUUCACUCCAGGCAGGAGGAACAGUGUGAGGGAAUUCUAAUUUAAAUUGUUUCAGAACUGCCAGGAAAGCUGCAGAACAGAGGUCUGAAAACAUAAGAGAAGCCAGGAAAAUGCAAGUCCUUCCUCCUGACCCUAGAAAAUCUCUGCUGCCAAGGCUGGGACUCUGCUGCCAACUUCAGGCCUGGGAAAACCAAGACUCCAGGAGCUCUACCUCUAGGAUUCUUCCAAACAUCUCACCAUGUCCUCUGAUACCUCUGUAGUCAUCUGCCACAACCUACUUCUGAAUAAAUCCU